AGGAAAUUUAAGAGUUUUAUUAUUGAAGAAUUUUAUUCUUAUUAUGUCUACUAUUUAGGAAUUUUAUUAUGUUUAAUUUAGUAUUCUUGAAUUAGAUUCUAAAAUCCUAUUGUUGUCAUUAGACAAUCUUUGUUAUGACAAUCUUUAUGAAAUCAAUAAUAUCUUGAGAAUUAAUUUUCUCUUCAAGGUUUUGUCCUUGAUUUCUCUUAUUCUUGGUUCUUUUCCUUUGUUCUACAUUAAUUUUACAUGAAAUAUAAUUUCUAAUUUGGUAUCAGAGUUUAAAAUCAAGUCAAAUUUACCAUACUUCACAUUCAAGUCUUCCCAUUUCUUAUAUUCCCACCGGUGUUUUUAUCCUUUGAAAUUUUCUUUGCUGCCUACAGUUUAAAAAAAAAAGUUGAAAACUAGAAGAACCCAGCAACUCGCCGUCAACCGAUUUCUCUUUGCGUUGACUGAACUUCAGUCUGAUGCCCCUAGAGCUUUAACUCGAUGGAUCUAGUGUUUGGAUUAGCUUCCGCACCCAACAAGCUUACCCAGCUUUGUUGUGAGCCUACAAGCAACGGAUUUGGCCCCAGCAACAGCCCAGAUCAGAUAGCCUCAUCAGCUUGUCACUUGAACUCUGCAUCACCUACCAUCACUGCCACAUCAUCACCGCCACAUUAGCAAAAUUUUAAGAGUUUCUUUCCUUGUUAAGAUCGACAUCCUGCAUCUGGUUUUGUAGCUCAUUUUCAGCAGAAACAACUCUUAAAAAUUGAAUUUUGAGUUUUUUUCUUCAAGAAAGGUAUAUUUUCUUACUUCAAAUGUCAUGGAAACUUAUAUUGAAAGGCUAAAAGGGGAGAUCAAUUACUACAAAAAUAUUCUUGAAGAAAUUAAUUAUUACAUUGAAUUUCAUAAAGGUCAAUUACUAUCUCUAUAUCAUUGCUUAGACAAUUAUAACUAUAAAUGUGAUUGUGAAAGGUGUUCUUUCUUAUGCGGUGAAUAUAGAGAGAUCAAACAGAUUUUAAUAAAUAAAGAAAGGGAAUAUUAAGAUUUACAACAAUUCUUAUAAGUCAAGGAAAGAGAGCUUGAGAAAUGCAGCAAAGAACUUGUGAUUUUAAGUUUGAAAGAAUUGAAUGCACAGUUUGAUAAGUUCCCAAAAUUAAAGCUUAAUAAGUUGAAAAAAGUAGAGCUUAACGAAUUAUCAAUAGUUUUGCAAGAAUUUAAAGAAGAAAUUCAAAUUGUAA
rnacentral:misc_RNA from 1 species